rnacentral:lncRNA from 1 species
UCUUUCCAAAAGGAUUUUGGCAGAGACAAUGUAGCUGGCAGGAACGACAGUGUGAAAUGAAGAUAAAUGAAGAAUACGGGCACAUGGAUCCCUAGAAGGAGGCUGGGUUGAUGUUGAUGCAGAUGCAAAUUUUCAGUAUUAAAAUAAAUUAGCCCAAAUCUGAUCCAGCUGAUGGCUGUUUCAUCAACCGGACAAGAACAUUGAUCCCCAUACAGAGUCUAUUUUUUGGUGGGGAAGCAGGUUUGAUCUUUGGAGUCAAAUGAUCCCUUCAAGGGAAGAUCAGUAAAAUAGAAUUCCACAGUAUUAUCAAGCUGAAGUCACAGCAAGAGAAGAGACAAGUACAGGCUCUUCUGUUGUACUCAUCUCCUUGGCAGCCAAGUCUCACACCUCUGCUGCAC